rnacentral:rRNA from 1 species
UACGUAGGGUGCGAGCGUUGUCCGGAAUUACUGGGCGUAAAGAGCUUGUAGGUGGUUUGUCGCGUUGUUCGUGAAAUCUCACGGCUUAACUGUGAGCGUGCGGGCGAUACGGGCAGACUAGAGUACUGCAGGGGAGACUGGAAUUCCUGGUGUAGCAGUGAAAUGCGUAGAUAUCAGGAGGAACACCGAUGGCGAAGGCAGGUCUCUGGGCUGACACUGACGCUCAUGCACGAAAGCGUGGGGAGCAAACAGG